rnacentral:tRNA from 1 species
ACUCAGGUGGCGGAGUGGUUAACGCGCUAGAUUCAGGCUCUAGUCUCUUCGGAGGCGCAGGUUCGAAUCCUGUCCUGGGUA